UGCAGUCGAACGCUAUUUAUAGAGUGGCGCACGGGUGAGUAACGCGUGGGAACCUGCCUUUUUCUGCGGGAUAACGGUUGGAAACGACCGCUAAUACCGCAUACGCCCUACGGGGGAAAGGUCCGCCGGAGAAAGAGGGGCCCGCGUCUGAUUAGCUAGUUGGUAGGGUAAUGGCCUACCAAGGCGACGAUCAGUAGCUGGUCUGAGAGGAUGAUCAGCCACACUGGGACUGAGACACGGCCCAGACUCCUACGGGAGGCAGCAGUGGGGAAUAUUGGACAAUGGGGGCAACCCUGAUCCAGCAAUGCCGCGUGUGUGAUGAAGGCCUUAGGGUUGUAAAGCACUUUCACUGGUGAAGAUGAUGACGGUAACCAGAGAAGAAGCCCCGGCUAACUUCGUGCCAGCAGCCGCGGUAAUACGAAGGGGGCGAGCGUUGUUCGGAAUUACUGGGCGUAAAGGGCGCGUAGGCGGUCUUUUAAGUUAGGCGUGAAAGCCCCGGGCUCAACCUGGGAACUGCGCUUAAUACUGGAAGACUAGAAAACGGAAGAGGGUAGUGGAAUUCCCAGUGUAGAGGUGAAAUUCGUAGAUAUUGGGAAGAACACCAGUGGCGAAAGCGGCUACCUGGUCCGAUUUUGACGCUGAGGCGCGAAAGCGUGGGGAGCAAACAGGAUUA
rnacentral:rRNA from 1 species